rnacentral:rRNA from 1 species
UACGUAGGGUGCAAGCGUUGUCCGGAAUUAUUGGGCGUAAAGAGCUCGUAGGCGGUUUGUCGCGUCUGCUGUGAAAACUGGAGGCUCAACCUCCAGCCUGCAGUGGGUACGGGCAGACUAGAGUGCGGUAGGGGAGAUUGGAAUUCCUGGUGUAGCGGUGGAAUGCGCAGAUAUCAGGAGGAACACCUAUAGCGAAGGCAGCUUGCUGGGACGACACUGACGCUGAGGCGCGAAAGCGUGGGGAGCGAACAGG